AUUGAACGCUGGCGGCAGGCCUAACACAUGCAAGUCGAACGGUAACAGGAAGCAGCUUGCUGCCUUGCUGACGAGUGGCGGACGGGUGAGUAAUGUCUGGGAAACUGCCCGAUGGAGGGGGAUAACUACUGGAAACGGCAGCUAAUACCGCAUAACGUCGCAAGAACAAAGAGGGGGACCUUAGGGCCUCUUGCCAUCGGAUGUGCCCAGAUGGGAUUAGCUAGUAGGUGGGGUAACGGCUCACCUAGGCGACGAUCCCUAGCUGGUCUGAGAGGAUGACCAGCCACACUGGAACUGAGACACGGUCCAGACUCCUACGGGAGGCAGCAGUGGGGAAUAUUGCACAAUGGGCGCAAGCCUGAUGCAGCCAUGCCGCGUGUAUGAAGAAGGCCUUCGGGUUGUAAAGUACUUUCAGCGGGGAGGAAGGGAGUAAAGUUAAUACCUUUGCUCAUUGACGUUACCCGCAGAAGAAGCACCGGCUAACUCCGUG
rnacentral:rRNA from 1 species